rnacentral:rRNA from 1 species
GACGAACGCUGGCGGCGUGCUUAACACAUGCAAGUCGAACGGAAAGGCCCUGCUUUUGUGGGGUGCUCGAGUGGCGAACGAGUGAGUAACACGUGAGUAACCUGCCCUUGACUUUGGGAUAACUUCAGGAAACUGGGGCUAAUACCGGAUAGGAGCUCCUGCUGCAUGGUGGGGGUUGGAAAGUUUCGGCGGUUGGGGAUGGACUCGCGGCUUAUCAGCUUGUUGGUGGGGUAGUGGCUUACCAAGGCUUUGACGGGUAGCCGGCCUGAGAGGGUGACCGGCCACAUUGGGACUGAGAUACGGCCCAGACUCCUACGGGCGGCAGCAGUGGGGAAUAUUGCACAAUGGGCGGAAGCCUGAUGCAGCAACGCCGCGUGCGGGAUGACGGCCUUCGGGUUGUAAACCGCUUUCGCCUGUGACGAAGCGUGAGUGACGGUAAUGGGUAAAGAAGCACCGGCUAACUACGUG